rnacentral:rRNA from 1 species
UACGGAGGAUCCAAGCGUUAUCCGGAAUCAUUGGGUUUAAAGGGUCCGUAGGCGGUUUGGUAAGUCAGUGGUGAAAGCCCAUCGCUCAACGGUGGAACGGCCAUUGAUACUGCCAGACUUGAAUUAUUAGGAAGUAACUAGAAUAUGUAGUGUAGCGGUGAAAUGCUUAGAGAUUACAUGGAAUACCAAUUGCGAAGGCAGGUUACUACUAAUGGAUUGACGCUGAUGGACGAAAGCGUGGGUAGUGAACAGG